rnacentral:misc_RNA from 1 species
UCCCUGAUGACGGGGGACACACCUCCGCAUGUGGUAUCACAGGGUCCAGUACUCCCAAUCGCUGUGUGUGGGGAACCGAGCAGCUUCUAUCCCUCUCAAUGCCGAGCCACCUCUGGUGGUCACGGGGUCAGGCACCUAUGGCGUGGGGCAUGUCAGAGUGAUGUAUCGCUGCUGAUGUCGGCGGUCAGGUCCUGCAUGACGUGGCGUGGAAGCGAGCUGUGACAGUGAGCAGGUUGGUGUCAUCCAUAUGAUAGGCGGAGAGUGUCCGCGUGACUCGAGCGUACCUCACCCGGCCCUAGCUGCCUACCGUCGGAGAGCCUAAGCCCCCGCCAGGGGUGCACCAUGUGGCUGCUGGCACCAUGGAAGCGGUUGUGAAGCGACCUGAGAGGCAGAGUUUGUGGCAGAGGCGGUUCUCAGAUGGCUGAGGCGGCAUCGCUAUAAGACGUGCCUACGGCUGCUUCGCACUACGCAACGGAGUCUGUGUCGGGCCAGGUAGAGUGGAGGUUGAACCCUCUUCUACAGCAGAGAAUGGGCACGUCGAAAAGAAAACAUCUGUGGUGAACCGGCUUAGUGUGCUUCGGUGCUUGUAUGCGUGUGUGUGUGUGUGUGUGUCUGUGGUUGGUGCUCUCUUCCUUUCCGUGUGCCCAGCCCCAGGCCUUUGUCUUUGUGUAUUGUCGUUGUCCCCUUGUCCCACACGCACACGCACCCCUCUUGGCGUACGAAGCGCAUAUGGGCAACAACCGACGAAGUACCAGUGGAGAUUCUGACGAGGGAGCGAGGUAGACAAUCGAAUGAGGCUGAGCAGCAAACAAAGAAUAAAAACGCUAACAUAUGAUGCCCUCACACACACACACACGUGUAUGCAUACAUGCGUACACACGCAGAACAUGUCACGGGUAAAAACGCCGGUGCACGCAUUCGGAAGGUAAUCC